rnacentral:rRNA from 1 species
AACGAACGCUGGCGGCAUGCCUAACACAUGCAAGUCGAACGAGACCUUCGGGUCUAGUGGCGCACGGGUGCGUAACGCGUGGGAACCUGCCCUUAGGUUCGGAAUAACUCCCCGAAAGGGGUGCUAAUACCGGUUAAUGUCUUCGGACCAAAGAUUUAUCGCCUUUGGAUGGGCCCGCGUUGGAUUAGCUAGUUGGUAGGGUAAAAGCCUACCAAGGCGACGAUCCAUAGCUGGUCUGAGAGGAUGAUCAGCCACACUGGGACUGAGACACGGCCCAGACUCCUACGGGAGGCAGCAGUGGGGAAUAUUGGACAAGGGGCGAAAGCCUGAUCCAGCAAUGCCGCGUGAGUGAUGAAGGCCUUAGGGUUGUAAAGCUCUUUUACCCGGGAUGAUAAUGACAGUACCGGGAGAAUAAGCUCCGGCUAACUCCGUG